AGGUGACUGCGGAGGGAUCAUUA
rnacentral:rRNA from 1 species